CCUACGGGGCGCUGCAGUGGGGGAUAUUGCACAAUGGGGGGAACCCUGAUGCAGCGACGCCGCGUGGGUGAAGGAGUGCUUCGGCAUGUAAAGCCCUAUCGGCAGGGAAGAAGCAAGACGGUACCUGACUAAGAAGCCCCGGCUAACUACGUGCCAGCAGCCGCGGUAAUACGUAGGGGGCGAGCGUUAUCCGGAUUCACUGGGUGUAAAGGGGGCGCAGACGGCAGCGCAAGCCAGGAGUGAAAGCCCGGGGCCCAACCCCGGGACUGCUCUUGGAACUGCGCGGCUGGAGUGCAGGAGGGGCAGGCGGAAUUCCUGGUGUAGCGGUGAAAUGCGUAGAUAUCAGGAGGAACACCAGUGGCGAAGGCGGCUUACUGGACUGUAACUGACGUUGAGGCUCGAAAGCGUGGGGAGCAAACAGGAUUAGAUACCCGUGUAGUC
rnacentral:rRNA from 1 species